rnacentral:misc_RNA from 1 species
GAAUAAGAUUCAUUAUGGAGAAAGGAAUGUAGUUUCCACUAUAAUUUGAAUAAAAAGUUAUUUCCCUUAAUAAUGCAAAGGAAUGUUACAAACUCAUGAGUGAGGGUGUAAAAAAAUAUUGACCGGAAAUGUCUUUUAAACUGAAGAUUUAUAUUUAAAAAAAUGUAAAAAAAAUUGUAAAAGGCACUAAAAUUUUUAAAGUAUAAACAAAAUAAGUUGAAUAUAUACCUUAAAACAAUUCCAGGCAAUAUUAUAGACACUUAAACUAAAAAUUAGGCAUUCGACUAUAACUAGAUACGAGAGUUGCAAGAACUGUAAUUGGUGAGAUUGAAAAUCUAAAAAUUUAUUAAUUGCAGUAGUGUAAUAUUGUUCUUGGCUGAUUUCUAAGGAUGAAUUGGAUCCUUUGGCUAAUUUCUAUCUCAUUCCUUCCUAAAGGUA